UAUAUAUAUAUCUAUCCCAAUUCCAAAAGUCACCUCCUCCUCUGUCACCCCUCUAAUUCAAGCCACUUCUAUCUCCGACUACAUUACUGCCAUAGUCUUUAGCUGGUCUCUCUCUGUCCACAAUUAGUUCUCUAGAGUCUAUUUUCCUCAUGGCAAUCAGAGUAUUCCUUUUCAAAAGGUAAAUUAUGUUUUUAUAGGUACUGUUCUCAACCCUUCAAGACAGUUCUGCGGGGGGUUGUGUAGUGUGUCAAUUUGGCUAAUCUGGAACCACGUAUUCCCAGCGUUUGUUUUCCCUCUGUGAUUCUAGAUUAGAGGUGACCAAAAGAGAAACGUGCAGAAGAUUUGGACAGAAGUGAAGCAGCAGCCAGGAGAAGGUUGGCACGGUCAGAGGGGGUGAGAGACAGGCACAGAGGUGCCAACAAAUUCCAGCGUGUCCUUGUUCUCCCCUGCUCUGUGACCAGCAUUUCUUCCUGACUUCUAACCCUGUUGACCAACAGAGACCCCAGGCCCGGCACCAGAUGCAGAGGAAACAAUUCUCCACAGGCUUUUCCGCCAGGUCUCUCUCUGGGAGUCCAAAGAGGGAAUGACGACAUUCUUCUCUGGGGAGCCACCAAGCCUUCAAGGAAGAGAUCCGUUGAAUGUGCCCUAGUCCUGUCUGUUCAAACUGUCCUCAACCAGAGGAGACCACUUUUCUCUGCUUUCAGCUGCCGUAUCUCUUCUCGAGGCAAUGAUCACAGAACUGCGGACUGAUUGAAUGGGGAGAGGGGUCAAGGGUCAGAGGACAUACCAGGGAAAAAAGCAUAGACUGAUAUUUCAAAGGACACCACUCCACCAUUUCAACUAAAGAAAUGACUCAAAAAUCACUCACAUUCAAGUGUAAAUGAAGCGUAAUAAUA